AUGCACUAUGCCAUCUUACUUCUUGCUUUGUGAAGAAAGUGAAGCCGAGGAGGGGAAAGGAAACAAAGAGGUUUUGUCAAAACUACUAAAGGGUUCAACCUUAUUCACAGUGACGCUGAAUGUGCGUAACAUCAGCCAGAGUCAGACUCUCUUGCCAGUUGCGAUAGGGCUCCUAUCAGUGUCAGCCAAGAAGGAUGCAGUCGAGGUGACGUGGCGAGAGACACAAGCGUCACUUUUCAUCACAAAGCUGCAUGAGUGGUCCAAAAGGUAAGGCAAUUGAGAACAAUUUCUCAUUUACAAUGGCAACCUGGAGUCAACUUAGGGUUCAGUGUUUCGCCCAAGGACGCUCUGGCAGUGCGACAAUCAGCGCCCGGAUCCGAAUGGCUGACCUUUGCCUUGAGCCUCCAAAUGAAACAAAUUUAGGUUAGGUCGCCAAUGGAAGAAGGGAACACCUUGGUGUACCGAGGACCACCUGUCAUGACCUCAGGAUAAACAGCACCAGUGUCACCUAGUGGACAUGAACAUCCUUACCAUUCAGAUCUUCAACUACCGGUACAUGAAAAGACUAAGGAGAAAAAAAAACAUUCAUCCAUCCAUCCAUUUUCCGUACAGCUUAUCCUCACUAGGGUCGCAGGAGUGCUGGAGCCCAUCCCAGCUUACUCUGGGAGAGAGGCGGGGUACACCCUGAACUGGUCGCCAGCCAAUCACAGGGCUCAUACAAACAAACAACCAUUUGCAAUACGGGCAAUUUAGAGUCUUCAAUGAACCUACCAUCCAUGUUUUUGGAAUGUGG